rnacentral:rRNA from 2 species
GGGUGCCAUCGUACCGGCACUAAUGCACCGGAUCCCAUCAGAACUCCGUAGUUAAGCGUGCUUGGGCGAGAUUAGAACUAAGAUGGAUGACUUCUCAGAAACUUCUCGGAAAAUUCUCGUGUUGCACCUU